rnacentral:lncRNA from 1 species
GCACAAGCAUCAAUGAUCUUAAAGCCAUGGUAUCCACACAUAUGUUGUUGAUGACAUUUCCAACCCCCUAUGGCAAUGGUUACAUAAGAGGAGAUCAACUUAGUGCACGGUCUUGUUACAAUAUUUCGGUCAAGCAACAACACCUGCAUGUGCCCAAGGAAACCUUUUCUAUACAUGACCAAGUCAUAAAGACCAGCCCGGAUGAAGCCAACUUGGAUCUUCACGGUGGCAACAGUCAACCCAACGAUCCUCGAGAUGACUCUUUCACCCAGCAAGCACAACCCGCUGAAGAGCUAGAGAAGGUUUCUAUAUCGCAUGGUGAAGAUUGGCACCACCUUGUCACCACCUAUUCAGUUGGCAUUGAUCUCUUUUUUGCAAGAAAACACUAAGGUAUUCCCCUAGUCAUACGAGGACAUGCCAGACAUCUCUCUCGAUAUCAUAUGUCAUCGCUUGAGUAUUGACCCAAGACCAAGCCGGUGAGACAGAAGCGAAGAUCUUAUGACGCUGAAUGAUACGAAGCAAUGAAGGCAGAAGUUGAAAAACUCAAAGGCAUAAGCUUCGUCCGCAAAGUCAAUUACCCAACAUGGGUAGCAAAUGUGGUCCUUAUUAAGAAAAAUCUGACCAAAGAAAGUCUUCUGUUCCAAAAGGUCUUGUGGAGAAUGUGUGUCGACUACACCGACCUAAACAAAUGAUGCCCGAAGGAUAACUUUCCUCUUCCUCUCAUUGAUAAACUUAUAGACUCUAUGGCAGGGUGUGAACUCCUGAGCUUCAUGGAUGCUUACUCAGGAUAUAACCAAAUCCUCAUGAACCCUCCGGACCAAAAACACACAACUUUCACUACUGACAGGGGACUAUAUUGCUAUAAAGUCAUGCCUUUCCUCCUAAACAAUGCAGGAGCGACUUAUCAGAGACUAGUCAAUUUAAUGUUCGCCGAACAGAUUGGGAAGAGCAUGGAAGUUUACGUUGAUGAUAUGCUAGUCAAAAGCAAACAUACUGACCAACACAUCGCUAACCUAUGUGAAACUUUCACCAUUUUGAAGAGGUAUCGAAUGAGGUUGAACCCUAACAAAUGUGCCUUCGGCAUGGGCUCUGGCAAAUUCUUAGGCUUCAUGAUAAGCCAACGAGGCAUUGAGGCUAAUCCCGAGAAGAUCAAAACAAUCCUCGACAUGAAGGAAUCGAUAACUUCAAAAAACAUCCAGAGCCUUACUGGGAAGGUGGCAGCCUUAACUAGGUUCAUCUCUAAGGCCACAAACAGAUGUGCUCAUUUCUUCAAAGCACUUAUGGGAAGUAAGAAGUACAUUACAUGGACUGAUGAAUGUGCCGAGGUAUUCAAGAACCUCAAAGACUACAUGAGUAAAGCCCCUCUGCUCUCCAAACCUAAGGUUGGUGACACUCUCAUUAUCUAUCUGUCGGUAUCGGCUUCAACAGUAAGUUCCGUUCUCAUUCGAAAUAAUGGUAAUGUCGAAUGGUCUGUCUACUACGCUAGCAAGGCCUUACAAGAUGCAGAGACAUGAUACUCUAACAUUGAGAAAUUGGCUCUAGCAUUGGUCAUGUCUGCUCGAAAACUUCGCCCUUACUUCCAAGAACACUCCAUCAUCGUGCUUACCAAUCAUCAUUUUCGACAGAUACUUCAAAAUCCUGACACUUCGGGGCAAAUGAUAAAAUGGGUGAUAGCAUUGGGUGAGUUUGACAUCUCAUACCAACCAAAGCCAGCUGAGAAGGGCCAAACAGCGGCAGACUUUAUCGUCAAUUUCACAUAUCCUGUUGACAUUGUUUCUACGCCUAAAGAAGUGGUUUCAUUACCCUCGGAAGCUCAAAAAAUAGAACCAACAGCCCCAGCAUAGAGUCUAUAUGUUGAUGGCUUGUCCAACCAACAGGGUUGUGGAGCAGGACUAGUCCUUACGCCCCUGACAAAGUGGCGAUGAAGUAUGUUAUUCGUUUCAAAUUCAAGGCGUCGAACAAUUAGGCCGAAUAUAAAGCCCUUUUAGCAGGCUUACGUUUGGCCAAACACCUUUGGGUUAAACGAAUUGAUAUCUUUAGUGACUCCUAAUUGGUGGUUAACCAGGUCACCAACAACUUUGACGCUAAAGAUAGCUCCAUGGCAGCAUAUCUGGCACAAACACAAUUGUUGCUCAAGCACUUCCAUUACCAGAUCACCCAAAUUCCUCGAGCAGUAAACAGUGAUGCAUAUGCUUUGGCUCACCUCGCCUCAACGGUGGAAGACAAGAUUGGGAGAAAAAUUCAGGUCGAAUUGUUGGCAGCACCAAGCACCAUGGUUGCGGAAGUGUGCAACUUACAACAGGGGGAUAGUUGGAUUACCCCAAUUUAUAGAUUCCUUGCUCAUGGCACCCUUCCAAAUAACAAAGUCCAAGCUAAGCAUAUUCGAUACAAGGCUACCCGUUACUUAAUCAUUAAUGACCAACUCUACAAGCUGGGUUUUAACCUACCAUACCUAAGAUGCCUUAUGCCCGCAGAGGCGGAAAUUGUCCUUAGGGAAAUACAUGAAGGAGUCUGCGGAGAUCAUGCUGGAUCUUGAUCCCUAGUACACAAGGCUUUUCGCCAAGGAUAUUAUUAGCCAACACUCCACCAAGAUGCCAUCAGAUAUCUCGCUCAUGUGAUAAGUGUUAACAUUACGCAACUAUUCCUCACUCCCUUCCCGAGUUGCUCACUCCUAUGAUUAGCCCUUGGUUUUUUGCCCAAUGGGGACUUGAUUUGAUUUGCCCAAUGCCUGCAGGGAAGGGUAAGGUUCGCUAUGCAAUCGUUGCAGUUGACUACUUCACAAAGUGGGCUGAAGUAGAACCUUUGGCAACCAUUACUGAGGUAAAAAUAAAAGACUUCGUAUGGAAGAACAUCAUUUAUUAGAUUCGGUAUUCCUAAUGCGAUAGUCACUGACAACGGGCGACAGUUCGACAACAAUAAGUUCAGGAUGUUUUGCUCUAAGUUCAACAUCAACUUAUGUUUUACCUCCCCAGCCAUCAACAAAAUAAUCAAGCGAACUUUGAAAACCAGCUUUGACAAGGCUAAAGGUUGUUGGCCAGAAUUUGUACCCCAAGUUCUUUGGUCAUACCGCACUUCGUAUCGAAUAUCAACAGGAGAAACCCCAUUCUCACUUGCCUUUAGUACAAAGGCAGUUGUCCCAGUUGAGCUUGAGCAAGCAACGUUCCGAGUCCAAAACUACGUGCAAAGCGAAAAUGACAAACAACUUACCCUCAACUUAGAUCUAGUCGAGGAACACAGAAACCAGGCUCACUUGAGGAAUGUCGCCUACAAGCAGCGCAUCUCUAACUACUAUGACUCAAGGGUCAAACCUCGUUCUUUCAAAGUGGGGGACUGGGUAUUGAAGAAAAGAUUACUCUGCGACAGAGUCCCUAAUGAAGGAACACUUAGUCCAAAUUGGGAUGGACCGUUUGAAGUUGUUGGCAUCAGUCGCCUUGGCUCCUACAAACUUAGAAGCUCCGAUGGCAAGACCCUUGGCCAUCCAUGGAACGUUGAUCAUUCGAAAUACUAUUACAAGUAAACUCACAUUGUAUAAUGUGCCUCGACACCUUGCCCUUAUUCUCACCAACCAGGUGAUGAAAUGUGAAGAAGUAACUCAUCUUCAUGCCACCAACCAGGUGAUCAAAUGUACAACCCGUACUCUAAUAUCAUUUGGCAACUUGCCACUCAUGCCACCAACCAAGUGAAGAAGGAACUCAUCUUCAUGCCACCAACCAGGUGAUGAAAUAUACAACUCGUACUCUCCUUCAUGCCACCAACUAGGUGAUGAAAUGUACAACCCGUACUCUAAUAUCAUUUGGCAACUUGCCAUUCAUGCCACCAAGCAGGUGAAAAAGGAACUCAUCUUCGUGCCACCAACCAGGUCAUGAAAUGUGAUGAAGGAACUCAUCUUCGUACCACCAACCAAGUGAUGAAAGCGACUCACCAUUCAUUCACCUACCAGAAGACGAGUGGUACAACUUGUACAUGUGAACUCUUAGCAUUCACAAAUAAUAAAAAGCUUGACAACUCAACUAGGGGAGCACUUAUGCUCAACAAGAGUUAUAGUCCCGAACAAAGUCUUAUUGUAAGCCAACAAUAACUUUAGAACAUGGCAUACGAAGAUCAAGUUAUUCAGCCCUCUUGCAUUUGCUUCAGACAUUUCUCCUUUGUAACAAUGCAAACACUACAACUCGUAGAAAGCUUCACACACUAUUGAUCAAGACAGUGUGAAGCAAAACCAAUUUAUGGUGCCAACAAGAGCUUCAUCAAAAGAGUUCAACCACAAUUCUCAAAAGCUUCACACACUCUUGAUCAAGACAGUGUGAAGCAAAACCAAUUUAUGGUGCCAACAAGAGAUUCAUCAAUGGAGGGUAACCACAAUUCUCAAAAGCUUCACACACUCUUGAUCAAGAUAGUGUGAAGCAAAACCAAUUUAUGGUGCCAACAAGAGCUUCAUCAAUGGAGGGCAACCACAAUUCUCAAAAGCUUCACACACUCUUGAUCAAGAUAGUGUGAAGCAAAACCAAUUUAUGGUGCCAACAAGAGCUUCAUCAAUGGAGGGCAACCACAAUUCUCAAAAGUUUCACACACUCUUGAUCAAGAGUGUGUGAAGCAAAACCAAUUUAUGGUGCGAACAAGAGCCUCAUCAAAAGACUUUAACCACAAUUCUCAAAAGUUUCACACACUCUUAAUCAAGACAGUGUGAAGCAAAACCAAUUUAUGGUGCCAACAAAAGCUUCAUCAAUGAAGGGCAACUACAACUCGUAGAAAGCUUCACACACUCUUGAUCAAGACUGUUCGAAGCAAAUUCAAUUUAUAUGGUUUAUCCAAACCUUCCACUACUACAAGGUGUGGCUUGCAUCACAAUCUCUUGCUCAACAAUGUGGAAGCAAAAUUUGUAUACGUUGGCUCUCCCAUAUUUUCAAAUUUCUAAUUUUCCCAAAUAAAAUUAAAAAAAAAAAAGAAAUUGGGAAAUUCAACAAAACUUCUUCAAUGGAGAACAACUACAAAUUCUCAAAAGCUUCACACUAUCUUGAUCAAGAUAAUGUGAAGCAAAAUUAAUUCAUGGUACCCAACAAAAGCUUCAACUCCAAAGUUUCACCUACAAAGCUUCAACUCCAAAGCUUCACCUACCAAAGCUUCACCUACAAAGUUUCAACUCCAAAGCUUCACCCACAAAAGCUUCACUGAUGCGAAAAUUAACUUAACACACAAAUUAAACCCUCUUUUGACAAUUGUAGUAUAUGUAUAAGUAGGGAUCGUUCUGGACCGGGGAUUAUGAGGGCUUGCUAAUAACCUCUAAACUGACUCAAAAACAUAAAACUAAACUUAAAAACACUUAACAAGACUCACAAGACUCAAAGCAAACUUAAAAUACUCAAAACAACUUAAAACAACCAAAUAAACUUAAACUAGACACUAUGAAUGACUUUGGACGAAAAUUGACUUUUACUUAAAUCAAAACGCUUAAAAACACAAACUAAAACAGAUUCUAACUAAUUAGACACACUAAAGUAAAUGGGGAUUGAGUUUUGGACGAAUUUAAAAUAAAAACAAGUAACUAAAACUUAAGACAGAUUUUGGACGAAUUUGGUUGAACUAGAUGGAUGAUAAGCUAGCUAGAGGCUCUUUCUCCACACAUGACAUGUAUGUAAACAAAUAAAUUUCCAGUUACUCCUUCAUCGAAUUAUAAACGACAAUGCCCCAAAUUAACCGUGACAUCACUAGUUAACCCUCAUAUUUUCCUUGUAUUAUUGGAUUGGAUGACAUCAUUCGACAACCCAAAGUAUUCUUCAAAAGUUCCCUACAUGACAUCAUAAUAAAGAUACAAUCAAAGAUUAUUACGUUCAAUGAAAAUCAUAAGCAUUGACAAAGCACUUGCAACUAUGACAUCAUGUCACUCAUGCUAGGAAUUAAACUUAACGCAAUCGUUUAUAAGCGACCUCCACUACUUGUAAAUAUAAGUUUGUAACGAUUAUGUGAAACUUUCUUAUAUUCUAGCAACAGAUUUAUGCAUGCCAAUUAAGUGUCGACCCUUAAUCAACAAAUACAAAUAAGUUAUCAAUCAAAUAGUUAAGCCAAUUGCAUUCACGAUUCAAGAACUCAUAAUUGGAAUUUAUCAACCCAUAUUGCACACGUAAUCAUGGCUUUGAAAUCACCCCUAGCCAAGAGGGGUUUAGUUCCUCAUGUUCACAAAACAAAGAUACAUAAACUUAAACAUUAAAAACAAAGAAUGAAAACACUUAAAAACGCUCCAACAAUCUAACUUGAAUGGCAAGCACGUCCAAGGGUCCUCCUUCUUCUCUUUGUUGCGGCACAAGGUGUGGUUUGAUAGAUGAGUGGUAAAUUAUGGUGGUGGAUAGAUAUAGGUGAGUUAUGGUGAAGGGUAAAUGGGUGGAUUAUGUUGAUGGAUCUCCAAAUCUCCUUCCCCUUGGCUGUUACACACACUUCCUUUUAUAGAGGAGUGCACGACAUAAGGGGUAAAAUGGAGUGGUGUGUGCAGCAAUGAUUCAAUGGAGUGGUGCUGAAAUGAUUCAUCCAUUGAAUCAUUGAAUAGGACAUGGAAUGGUGCAUCAAUGAGUGCAUGGAGUGGAGGUUAAAGUGAUGAAAUGGUGCAUGAAAUCUGAUAUGAUGGAGGGGACAAGGAAUGGUACAACAAUGAGUGCAUGGAGUGGAGGUUAAAGUGAUAAAAUGGUGCAUGAAAUCUGAAAUGAUAGAGGGGACAAUGAAUGUGCACAGCAUGGGUGGAUAUCUGCAAUCUUUGCCUUGUGUUCCAGAUCACUUCCACAUGUCCUAGCUGUUAGACAACUUUCACACACAUGUUUUGCAUCAUUUCAUUUUGCAAACACCAACUUUUGGCCACUUUACACCUCUUCACACAUGCACCUGCUGCUAGAUACUUUCACACACAUGCUAUGCAUCAUUUCAACUUGCAAUUAUGUUUGUAGUUGCUGGAAAUGUAAAUACAACUUGUAAAGCAAUCCAACAAAUGGCAUCUUUCACUUCUUUUCCUUUCAAAUUGUUCCUUAAGUGUAUGUAUCUGCACACUUCCACACUUUAACUUCAUUAUUCAGAUUUUUGCAUAUGUUGGAACCCUUUUUAAAACACCAAAAACGUCCAUCCAACUUGCUCCAUAUGCAUGCAAUCCAUUUCAGCCCAAAAUUGCUCCAAAAUGCACCAAAAUGCACUUUCUUGCCAACUUUGUUAUUAGGACCUACAAACACACGAAAAUAGUUUAAAAUACAAAUUGACUAAGAAAUAACAACAUAAAUGCACAAGAAUAAGCUAACUAAGUCACAUAAAUAUGCUCCUAUCAUUCACCCAGAAUAGCUUCACCUACAAAAGCUUCACCUAUAAAAGCUUCACACACUCUUGAUCAAGAUAGUGUGAAGCAAAAUCAAUUCAUGGUACCCAACAAAGCUUCAACCUCAAAGCUUCACCUACAAAGCUUAAAAAUAUAUAUAUAUUUUUUCAGAAAUUCGAAAAUUUGAAAAAUCGAAAAAAAAAAAAUAUUGUCUAGGCCUCCUCUUCUUUGGGCCUAACAACUUUCAUAACAAAUAUAUAUGAAGGAUGAGUUUUAGGCUACCACUUAGAAAGGAAAUGCCUCAUUCGUCAACUCCCUCAACCGAAGACUUGGGGAACUCCUACCAUAUGCUACUGCACCUUGAUACUCGGAAGUCUCACGACCACUCAGUGGCUUGGAUUUUUCAAGUCUCCAACCGAGAAAUUUUUCUCACUCGGGAAAUUAAGGGAGCACUACCUCAACAUAUAUGCUUCACUCACAAAGCUUCAACAUACAAGCUUCAACAAAAGAAAAAAUUCAAAGAACUUAGUGAAGAAGGCUUUGGUGUAAUUAACACAAUACGUUGAAAUGAAGCAAAGCUUAUUUAUUGAUAUCUCCAAUAAGUUACAAAUAUGUACAUAUACAUGAAUCAAAAUAAACAAACAAGAGGGAGCCUUCACAAAGGUUGCUCAGGAGAAGUCUCAGCAGUCGGCAGAGCCCCAGAAAGAGAAGGCACCGGAAGGUAAUCAUUCGGAGCCUCAUACUGGACAGAACCCCAGAAGGAUGAGGCAUCCGAGGUUGAUCAUUUGGAGCUUCAUUACGCGGUACAAACCCAGAAGACGAAGGCAAUAAAUGCCUUUAGAACAAACCCACAAACCUCUGAUGAUCAAGUAAAAUAUGACCAUCAGAUUCCUGCAUCUAGUCAAGCUUCCUCUUCAUGUUAGUAGCAUAGUCAUGUGCGAGCCUGUGCAACUGUUUAUUCUUAUGCUUGAGCCCUCUAAUCUCCUGUUUAAGACUUAUCACUUCAGCUGCCAAUGAUUCAACUUGGCGGGUUCAAGCAAAUAGGCGUUGGGCCAUAUUAGACACAGAACCUGCACACUGAACACUAAAAGCUAGAUAAUCUUUAACAACCAACUCAUCAGACCGUUUGGAAAGUAGUUUGUUAUCUUUGGGAGUGAGAAGGUUCCUGGCCACCACCGCAGCAGUCAUAUCAUCUUCAUCACAGAGUCCCCAACGGUAAGAGGAUCAGUAGGGGAUAAGAAGGAUGAGCGCCAUAUGUUGUCUUGAGGAGGCAUGGCUGCCUCUUCACCAAAGUUCAAGUCAAAACGACGAUCGAAUGGGCCAAACAUUUUUAGAAAUCAUGAAGGAGAAAUGAGGUCCAAUAAAUCUCUGAAGUACGAAAAUUCCUACAAGCAAUAACUCUCUGAACGUACUUUUUGCACACAAUUGGUGCCCCUAUAAAAGAAAGGGCAGCAUGGUCAUUUGUUCAAAAAUAAAAAAGGCACCACUCUCCGAAUUUCGAGAAGCAGAUUUUCCUGAGUAAAAUAUGUCGACAAUCCCCACAUGCAACAUCAGCUCCUCGGGUACCACAGAUAACUUUGCGAAAGAUCUCUGAUAAAGUUUAAACACAUAAAUUUUGAAAGUUCAGCUACCCUACCAUUACCCACAAGGGUAAAGGAACAGCAUCACUGCUUGAUAACUGGAAAUUCCCUAUGUGUGUCAACCUCCGUGCUCCGUGGCAAGGCAAACUGGCAAAAAUGCCCAACCUUUACUCAUAUCAAGAAAACACUCCCAACAGGAUUACUUUCUCAAAAAUCGAAGAGGUGUCGCUCCCCGAAUCUCGAUAGCCAGACUCUCACCAGGAUUGCUUUCUAAAAAAUCGAAAAGGCAUCGCUAUCCGAAUCUCGAGAGCCAGACUCCCACUAGGAUUACUUUCUCAAAAAUCGAAAAGGCACCGCUAUUUGAAUCUCGAGAGCUAGACUCCUACCAAGAUCGUUUUCUCAAAAAUCAAAGAGACAUCGCUCUCUAAAUCUCGAGAGCUAGAUCUCCAAUAGGAUUACUUGUUCAAAAAUCGAAGAGGCAACGCUCUUCGAAUCUCGAGAGCUAGAUCUCCAACAUGAUUGCUUGUUCGAAAACCGAAGAGGCACCGCUCUUCGAACUUUGAGAGCCAGAUUUCCUUGGAUAAAAUUUGUCUGCAAUCUUCACACACAACAUCAGCUUUCUAGAUACCACAUACCACUUUUUCAAAGUGCUCUGACAAAGUUAAAACACGUGAAACUUGCAGCUUCCACUACAUUGCUAUGACCAAGAAGGGUAAAAGAAUAUCAUUAUUACUUGUUGUUGGGGAAACUUCUAUAUAUGUCAACCUCCAUCCUCCACAGAUAGGCAGACGUGCAAAAAUGCUCAACCCUUCCUCAUAUCUGAAAGGGCACUCCCAAUGAAGCUUCUCGAAAUACUCAGCUUUCUUUCCCCCCGAUAAUACCUCUGCAAACAAGCUACACUAGAGUAAGAAUAUCUCAUAUCAUCAGGGUUAAAAGCAAGAGUAUCUCAUAUCAUGUUUUUCCCUGUCUUUUCCUUUGGCCUUGUUCUUACCUGCAAGACAAGGAGAAAGAAAGUAAUCAGUCAUCACAUGGAAUCAAGCUUUCAGUCAGGAACUGACUGCCUGGAACCCCUUGCCUGAUUACUUACCUGUCAUUGCUCUCAAGUACUCAUCUUCAACAUCUUGUGCUUCCAGAAAAGAUACCACAUCUGCCUAAGGAACAGAUAGGGCAAGUGAGAAGGAUUCAAGGUAGCAUGUGGAGACAAGCGCAACAGAACACGUGCCGAUUCAUCUAUUACUUUGUCAAUAACAAAAGUAUCUCAUGUCAUCAAGGUCGAACGCACUCUUGAUUUGAUGAACUUGUUUUAACCCUCAAAUUCUUAAGUCAGCUUUAUACUCUGGAGGAAACUAGAAAACCUUCCAGCCCAGUUCAAGAAUAAGCAUAUGGAAAGUUACUUCUUGAAAAGUAAAAGUAUCUCAUAUCAUCUCUUCUCAUUUUUCUUCUCUUUAUCAUUCCUGCUGCCUGCAAGAUAGGGAGAAUGAGAACAAUCAGCCGGAACUCGAAAUCAAACUUCUGAUCUAGGACUGAUUACUGGGAGCUUUGAUUGCUUACCUUGUCUGUCACCUCUUUCGGCAGAUCUCCUAGCUCGGCGACUUGGGGGACUCCUACUACAUGGUUUGUAUUGUGCUUGACCAAGCCUGAAACUACAAGUAAGCUUCAAGUGAAAUUGAUACAUUACCUUGUGCAUCUUCACCGGUUAAAGAUACCACCCCUAGAUAGAGGAAAAGUACUUACAGAGAAGAUGCCACAUCUACCUAUGAGACAGAUAAGGCAAGUGAAAACGAUACCACACUUCGGUACUUAGAAGUUUUGUGAUUACUCAGCGGCUUGGAUCUUGCAAGUCCCUAACCGAGGAGGUUCCCUCACUCUGGAACUUAGGGGAGCAUUGUUUUACCAUACUUGACCAAUCCCGAAACUACCGAGCACCAGUCAAUGUUAUACCGUCAAGGACCCAUAAGAGUUUCCCUCCAACCAGGAGGUCAAUCAUAGUGCGACAUGUGUCAACAUCAGAAGCCAAUCAUAGCGCGACACAUGUCAACAUCAGAAGCCAAUCACAACACGACACGUGUCACAGUCAGAACAAAGCUAGAAACUCUCUUCUAUAAAAAGGAUAUCAUUCUCCCACAAUAUUUCCAAAUGUCAUUUGUACUAAAUCAAUCACUAGUUCUCACAAAAUGAGAGCUUGAACCUAUACUUGUGUAAACCUUUCACAAUUAAUGAGAACUCAUCUACUUCGUGGACGUAGCCAAUCUAGGUAAACCACGUACAUCUUGUGUUUGCUUCCCUAUCUCUAUCCAUUUACAUACUUAUCCACACUAGUGACCGGAGCAAUCUAGCGAAUGUCACAAACUUAACACUUUCUAUUGUACCAAAGUCCUCACUGAUUUUGUGCAUCAACAUAAUAUAUAGCACUAUCACAUAUAAUAUUUAGAUGACGAAAAUUUUGGGCCCCUUCAAAUUUGGAGGCCCUGUGUGACUGCACCUUUCGCUCUCCCUCAACGCCGUCUCUGCACCACGUGAUUGUGUUAAUGCAUUUUUGUUAUAUUAAAAUAGUAAGGAGUCGCACCCCAUCAAAACGAAUCUCUCAAAGAAGUCCACAAAGACCCAAAAUAGCAAUGAACUAGGAGGCAACGCCUACAACCCCAAUUGGAGAGGCUCCAAAUCAGGUGCCUCGCCUUCAGCUACCGAGCGCUACAACUAAAGCGCUCGACCCGAAAACUUUUCUAUUUCCACAGCCGCUCACUUCAACAUAGCUUCGUUAUCUAUACAAACUAAAACAUCUUUCUAAAUGUAAAUAAUUAAGCCAUUACUUAACUAAUUGAAAACACUUGAACUAAUCGGCUUACUUGAGCUAUAACCAACUGGAAUACUUGAACUAACCAGGUUAUUUGACUAGAAUCAACCGGAAUACUUGAAAUAGCCAGGCUAAUUAAUCAAUUUAUCGACCAAAGAAAAACUCCCCAACAACUAACCAAAAAAAAACCCAUAAAAUCAAUCAACUAUUAACAUAAACUCCUAACAAUUAACCAAAACAAAAGCCCAUAUCAAGUCAUAUCAGAUAUUCAUAAGUAUAUGUUGGGCUUCCGGUUGUUUGGGUUUGGGAGUUAGAUUUGUUUUUUUUAAUUUAUUUUUUUUUUAAAUCCGGUAGUUUUGAACAAGAUUGUUUGGAAAAAAGAAAUAAAAGCAAAAAGUUGCGCGCAACACAAGCUACUUCGUGCAACAAACCUUUGAGCUGAUUCAAGCAUUUAGUUCAACUGUAAAUUUUCUAGUUCAAUAGUGUCAAAAAAGUGAAGGUCGUGGGCACCAAAGGGUCACUAGAGCUGCUUCCCAACCACAGUUUGGACCUUUCACGAGGUAUCCGAAUCACUCGUCUCUUGGUGGUGGAUCAGCCAUUGUGUAUGCUAGUUUCUUUGGAACUUUUGUUAGUCUGCUUUUGCAAUAUCUUUGUACGAUAACUUUUUUAACUUUGUUGAAUUAUUUAAUCACCUGUAUACAUGCAUCCAAUUUAUUACAUUUCCUAAAGGUUAACUUACUAAACUUGGCUUCCCUACAAUGUUGUCCACAAGAAGUUUGAAAUCCCCCCUUGAUAACAAUAGUAGAAAGAAAAAAAAAAUUAACAAUACUUGAAAAUUCUCAAUUGGUUUAGCAGUUAUAACCCAAUGAAAUACCACUAUGUUAGGAUGAAAAAAAUAAAUUUUGAAUUUGAACAAAAGUCAGAAUUUGUAAAUUGACAUGCACCAAUUUUCUUAUUUGGAUUUAUAAACAUAUAAAUUUAGAAUUUCAACCUGGAAAAAAAGUUUUUGAAAUUUGGGAUCUCUAACAUUCUGUUUGGAUGAAGAAAUUUAGUAUCACUAAGGAAUUUUAAAAUGACAAAAAUUGGAAUGACGGGAUUUAUUUGGUUAACUUAAAAGAAGAAUUGAAUUGAAUACAUAAUUUGUUAGUUUUAAACUCUUAAUCGUAGAAAUUGGGAAAUGACACAUAUUUAUAUAGAAUUUAAACUUGGAAAUUAGAGGUCCCAAAUCCAGGUUUUUUUUUACACGGAAAUUCUAAAUUUCUAUGUUUAUAAAUCCAAACAAGGGAAUUUGUGCAUGUUAAUUUAUAAAUUUUGACUUUUAUCCAAAUUCCUAGUUUAUUCUCCUCAUCCAAAACAUAGUGUAAUUCCCACAUUUAAAUUCUAUGUAAAUGGCUAUCAUUUCUAAAUUUUCAUGAGUGAGUAUAAAAAUAAAAAAUAUAAAAAAUGAGAAAUUAGGUUCUCAUCCCUAUUUUUUCAACUCCAUUGAUUGAAACCUUAUUCCUUUUCAAUUUUUAAUCAAGGUCCCUUGGUUUUACUAAACAUCAUUAAUUAUUUCAAUAAUAAAAUAUUUUACAUAUCAAGAUAAUUAAAUUUUGUUUCUAAAUUAUUCAUUUAGUGUUAGAAACAUUACAUUUGAUAUAUUUAUAUUUAUGGCUAACUUUUGUAUCAUAUAUUUUUAUUUUUAGUUUGUACCCAUUUUAAUUUGCAACCUUUUAUUUUUAAAUUGUGCCAAUUUUCUAUUCACUUUUAGUUUGUACCCAUAUUCUUUUUGUGUCCAUAGUUUUCAAACUUUUAUUUUUACUCAUAUUUUGUUGACCUUUUAUUUGUACCCAUAAUUUAUUUAUAGUGUACCCAUUUGUCUUUAAAAAUGUACCACUUUGUUAUAUGUAAAAUGUAACUUUUUUUUUUUAAGUACCAUCUCUUUUGUGUAAAAUGUACCCAUUAUUAUUUUUAUAUGAAAUGUACCCAUUAUAUAAAACGUAUCACUUUUGUUGUAUAAAAUGUACAAACUUUUUGUAUGUAAAAUGUAUCGUAUAAAAAUUACCAAUUUUUUAUAUGUAAAAUGUCAUUAAUAUAAGUAAUGACAAAUCAUGGGUUUUAUUUAAGUAUAAUUUUUUUUAAUAUUUUCAACAAAUUAUGGAAUUUAUUAAAAUCUCAUUAAUAUAAAUAACUACAAAUAUCAAAUUUUAAUUUAAAAUUUAUAAUAACCUACAUAGAAAUGUAUUAUUGCAUUAAUUUCAAGGACUUCAAUAAAAAGCGAAAACCAACAAGGUUUCAAUCAAAGAACGUUAAUAAAUAGAGACCGCAUCCAAGGUCACCCUAUAAAAAAACUCAAUCAUUAGUGGACACCACCACCAGCACCACCCACCACCAUGGCUAACGCCGCCACCACCACUUACCGUUAUCUCCUCCGCCACUCCCGCCGCUACCACCCACCGUCAUCGCACCGCCGCCGCCGCCGCCACUACCCACCAUCGUCACCGCCGUCUCCACCACCACUACUAGUACAUUUUCUAACUACUAUACCUCUUAAUAACUUUAUACACACAUUAAAUUUCAUUGCUCUUUUAGGUUAACUAAACAAGAAAAUUCACAAAUUUUAAAAAAUAAAUUCCAUCAUUUCAAUUUCUGUUAUUCUAAAUUUCUUCAUUACGAUACUUCCAUAUCUUCCACACAAGCCUAGACAAAAUAGUAAAUAAAAAAAUCCAAGAUCACACAAUUUGAAAUGUUAAUUAGCAUUGGUCUCUCAAUGAUGCUAACUUUCAUUUGCAAAAGGUCCCCAAGAUUCUGCAAAAUAUGAUCACAUAAUCUGCAGCACCAUUCCUUAAUUCAGAAAUCCAGAUUCUGAUUAUUUGACAAUCUUCCAUUAAAAGAAAAACGUGUUGCCUGAAUCUUUGUCCUAUUUUCAACUACCGUAUCAAAACAUUGCGCUUUCUACGCAUAUAUACAUAUGAUUUUUGAAUCCCUUGCCUUGCAACCUAGGUAUUCCGUUUUUGGUCUGACUCCCAAUCGGGUUGCCUUAUCAAGGUCUCGUGGGUGUUACCUGCAGAUCAUGUUCAUAUGAUUAGGUAAUUUCACAGGAGAAUUGUUAUUAGCAUUCCAAAAUCUCAUUCUAUACUCCUCACAAGUGUAUUUUUCUUUGUAAUUAAUAUAGAAAGGUUGAAGUGCCAAAUAAAAUUUUUGGAGUGCUAAUAACAAUUCUCUUUCACAAAACGAGAGAGGAAAAAAUCAGAGUAAUAUACAAAAGACACAGUUGCACCCUCCAUAACCAAUUUAGAUAAACCAACGCUACCCAAUGUACCCAUUUAAAUUUAAAAAAUGGAUUUAAUAUUUAGCCAAAUAUAAACCUUAUAUUAUCCACUUUGCACUAUAUACAUUUUUUUGUUCUAAGACAAGAGUCAAAGAUAUGGAUUUUGGUAGCCAAUUCAACGGCGUGAAAUCAUUGCCCAGAUCAUAUCAUAUGGGUCUCGACAAAAGCGACCACGUCAUGGGCCAUGCAACUUGCUUUACUCAAAAUGUAUGGCAUAAGAUGCCUACUAAAGAUCCUGGAGCGUUGAAAACACUCACCUUUAAUUAUUCAUGUGUAUGAUUGACCUAGUGCCAAUUAUCUCUCUCCCCUUUUCUUUUAAUUUUUCGACAAACGAUAGCGUUAGUGGAUUAAAUUGUUUAAUGUUAAGGAGAAAAUGAUUAAUAGAGAUCGAACUUGCGCCAAAUACUUGCCUAAAUUAAGUCUAAAUAACUAUAAUUUUAUCCUUAUUGUACAUUGCCUCUUCACGUGUAGCAUGGAGCUAGUUGUGCCGAAUAACUAAGGCCUCGUUUGGAUGUGCUUUUAAAAUGACUGAAAGCGUUUUUAGAGAAAAUAUUUUUGGAUUCCUAAAGCACUUAAAAUGCUUUUUGCAAUAAGCACUAGUUAUGUGAUUUUUUCAUGAAGCACUGUAAAUGUUUUUCGAGAAUUUACUUGUAUUUUUACUAAAGAUUAGUUCUAAAAAUAUUUUCACCAAAAGCACUUUCAGUUAUUGUAAAAGCACAUCCAAACAAGCUCUAAAGCUUUCAUAUUCUAAUAGUUGUCCAAUUAAUUAGGGUAAAUUACACUUUACCACCUCAGGUUUGGGGUCGAUUUCAAUUCCUUGCAACAUCUUUAAAACAUUUCACUUUCAUAUAUAAAGUACUAUUUUAUUUCAAUAUAGUACCUCCGUUACAUUUUUCAUCCAUUGAUCCGUUAAGAGCUGACGUGGCUGCCACAUUUGUGCCACGUGGCAAAAAAAAUAAAUUUUAUUUACUUAAAAAUAAUUAAUUAAAGAAAAAUUAUUUAUAAAAAAAAAUAAAAACCAACCUAGAACCCAUCUUCCCCCCGACCCACCUCCUUCCCCCGCAACCCUCACCCCCCCUUCUCCUUCUCCUCCAUGUUCACCUCUCUCUGCUUCUCCCUCAAUUCACCACCACACAACUCAUCUGACUUACCUAGCGAUGCAAGGCCUACUAUGUUGCUCCAACCCAUUUUCCCCCUUCCCCCACCCCUCUUCCCCCUUCCCCCACCCCUCUUCUCCCUCCUAAGCCUCCCAACUUCGGCCUUACCACCGUCGGCUCUACAUCAGCAACCAGCUCGCCCGAGUGGUCUCCCUCGGCGAAUGAGAACAUCGACCCUGAUGCAUGCCGGCUCUGCCGCCUCUUGAUGUCGCUAAGCUCCAUUUUGGCUGGGGCUUGACCAGCGACCCAAUCAAGUUCAAAUUUCAGCUGGUCAGGUAUAGGUCCCACUGACGGAAGGGGUGGGAUUUUUGGUAGUGGGUGAUGGGGGAUUUUUGGGAGGGGUCAUGGGGUGGGAGAAGGGGGUGGGUCGAGGAAGACGAUUUCUGGUUUUUUUUUUUUAAAUAACUUUUCUUUAAUUAAUUAUUUUUAAAUGAAUAAAAAAUUUGUUGCCACGUGGCGCAAAUUUGGCAGCCACGUGGCACAAAUGUGGCAACCACGUCAGCUCAAUGCAUGGGAAAUGUAACGGAAGUACUAUAUUGAAAUAAAAUAAUACUUGGGGUAUGAAAGUGAAAUGUUUUAAAGGUUUUAAAGAUGUUGUAAGGAAUUGAAAUCGACCUUAAACCUGAGGUGGUAAAGUGUAAUUUACCCAUUAAUUAAUGAUAUCAAUUUAUUGAAUUUGCUAUAUUGCAUGAUCGAAUAAAAAAAGAAGAGCCUUUAGGUUCGGAAAGGAAAAAAAUGUAAACUAUAAAUCAUCAUGACAGCUAUAACUAAAAGUUUCAUAAAAAAAUAGAAAAAAACACUUAAAAGUUCAAUAUUGGAGAAUACUUGUCCUCCUCUAUUGAAUCUUUGUUAUGAAAUUUUUAUGGCGUCACAAAGUUGAGUUUUUUUUUUCCAAAUUAUUAAAUUUGAAAUAUUUUUUUCUCUUUACAUAGGAACAUAAUUAAUAAAAUACAAAAUGGAUAUUGUACAUAAAAGAUAUGUACAUGUAUUAUUCGCUAACUUUGCUAAAAAAAAUACUUAUGGAAAAUUUGGACAUUUUUAAAAUUUUAAUAUUUAUUCAUUAAAAUAUUUAUUUCUUUGAUAAUAUGUUAAAAAUAUUAUAGACAAUAUGGAUUUCAUAUGUUUUAUUAAAAAAUAUGUCCAAAUAACGUGUAUUAAACGUAAAAAUAUACAUAUGCACGUGUAAUAUUUUGAAGUUAUAAUAAUAUGAAAUUAAACGAAUCAUUAAAUGUGUAUGAAAAAAUAAAAAUAUUUUUGAAAAAUAUGCAUGUACGUGUAUAAUAUGCAAAUUUACUAGCAUGUUCAAAAUAAACCACCACACCACCACAGAGUGACUUAAAUUUAUUUUGAGCCAAAUUCUUUUGUCAUGAUAUGACUAAAUUAAUUUAGGUAGUUUUCUUUAUUUAAACGAUAUUUUAAUUAAUUUAAUCAAAUUACAGGCAUACUUGAACUUGAAUAUAGAACGAGGGACAUGUUGUUGGGCCAACCUGACUAUAACUGUAACAACCCAUCCCGAAAUUUACGUAACGGAAGGGUAUUUUCGUAUUUUCACUUUGGUUGGGUUUUAUUUGUUUUAAAAUAUUGCUUUUUGGUGUUAAAUGGUGUGCCCUUGGGCCCAUCCCUAAUUUUGGUCCCCCGGCUCUCCCCUCUCCUUGCCUGCCACGUGGCAUCCCACUUCUUCCCUCCCCAACAUCUCUCUCUCUCCCUCACCUAUCCCAGUUUUCUCCAUCACUAUGCACUAUCUCUCCCUUUAUCUCCGAGAAGGAACCACCAUCAUUCCUUUCGAUUCCGACCAAGCCAGUCUCAUAAAUCCUUAUUUCGAACCUUUAGGACAUAGGGAACACGAUUACAUCCUCGCUUGCAUCAUCAAAGCACCAUUUGAGUGAUCCACCAUUGAAGCCGAGAUCUUCAAGCUUUCAUUUCUCAAACCCAGCUAAGGUUAUUGCUCUAUUCCGUUCAUUCAAGUUAUUCUUGGGUUGAUGUUGUGUUUUGAGUUGAAAACUAAAGGUAUCUAACUCGUUCGUGCAUGCUCUUCCCCCUUCCCAGUUUUCGAUGGAGACCCAACGACUUUUGAGCCGAAGUUUGGCCGACUCCGGCCACCCCACGGUAUGUCACAUGUACGAAUCUCUUCCUUUCUCUCGUAUCUUCAUUUUAGUAUGAGGAUCGUAGGGUAGAAUGGUGAAAUGGCGUCGACUGGAGCUUAGGAGGCUCCGGUCUUCUUUCUCGGUGAAAAAAUGGCUGGCUCGCCCAAACCCAUAGAGUGCAGGCCAUUUGGGCCAAGCAAACUAGGGCCUUCGGCCCGUUGAAUUAAAAGCCCAACCUAGUUAGCCUUUAACCCAAAACCUUUUUUAACUUAGGCCUUAGGCCGUGUAGAACUUGGGCCUUAGGCCCGUUAACCCUUUUAACCCAUUGAACCCUUGCCCCAACCCUUGGCCCAAUGUAAAACCGGCUUAACCCUUGGGCCGUAUAACUAGCCCAAGCCCGAGGCCACACAUUUAGGCCCAACCCAAACCCUUGUGUCUCGACCCGAUUAACCUGACCCGACCCGAUUGACUUGACCUGGACCCGUUGACUCGAUCUGACCGUUGACUUUGGUCAAAGUUAACCAUUGACUCAGUUAACAAUGACCGUUGACCGUCAACAUUGACUUUUUGUUGACUUUUUCUGGUUUCAGUUGGGACCUUUUCUAGGCUAAUUUCGACGUCCUGGAUCCGUUUUUAAGUCCGCUUUCCCAAAUUCAAUCGUUUUAAUAGAGUUUUAUUAAUUAGACCCUUUUUGUGCUUAGGUGCAUUUAUUGUGACAAUUUCCAUCUUUGUGUGGCGCUUUGACAGCGAAAUAUCUGUGAGUGGAUCCUUUCUAAAAUGUAUGUUUUAAUAUUAGAAAUGCAUACAUGAAAAGCAUGAUUUAAUGGUUACGUUUUAUAAGUAAAUUAUAUUUACACUUUAUGAUUAUCAAGCUUUACUGAGAAUAUUUUGGAAUGCCAUACUUUAUCGAAUUUAUGUUCUUUAUAGUAUAUAUGAUGGAUGACUAUAUACUAUUUAUGAACAUGUUUUUAAACUUCUUUGUAGUAUAUAUGAUAGAUGACUAUAUGCUAUGAAGAUGUUUUUGAGAUAUAUUUACGUAUAUUGGAAAUAGUAUAUUCAAUGUUUUUACGCUUAUCUAGUGGUCAAUGUUCCCCUACGAGCGAUGAUACUUAUAUUAGCCUACGGGUCGGAAGAUAUAUUAUAUUUGGCCUACAUGUUAGGUGAUGUAGGGGCCUACGGGUCGAUUAUGAUACCACUAUUUAGCACACUAUAUACGAUAUAUGUUUUAUGAAAGAUUUUAUGGCAUGUUAGGGUUUUCGGAAAAACCUAUUACAUAAUAUACUAAUGAAUUUCCAUAAAACUUUGGGGGGUUAGUACGUUAUUGAAUAACUAUUUUAGUAUUUUAUAUAUAUAUAUAUAUAUAUAUAUAUAUAUAUCAACUUGGUCCACUCAUAUUUUGUUUUGCGCCCCCUCAGGAUUUAGAAUCAAGGUGUACAAUCCCGGUGUUAGGGCACUUCCGCAUCGACAUUUUCAAGUCAUGUCGGUGUAGGAACCAUUCCUUUGCUCAUUCAAUUUUAUAUUAUUUCCUUUCUGGUGUCUCAAAUUAGUUGUAUGCUCUAAACACGUUCCUCAUAGCAUAUUAAUUACAUUUAAAUUUAUAAGUCUUAUUUAUUUCUAGUUCUCAUGCAUUCUAAUAUGGUUUCGUCACCUUCGGAUGUCGGCCAUCACGUGCCUACCCUGGUGUUUGGUGAAUAUCAGGGUCGGGCAUAAUGAUUGUUAAUUAACUAAAUGUAGAAUUAUGACUCAUUGUAUUGGUGUGUGGAAAAUUUUACAAUAUAUAUAGCAUUAUGUUAAUCCCUAUUUAGGUAGGAAUCCUACACUAAUCACAAUUGGAAAUGACAUUCCCAUAUACAUAUUACAAUCACAGUGAAGAAUUUCAAUUGAUUAAGUCUAAUCUAACAACAUCCCUUCCCCACGCAAAUUGGACGAGCUGAAUCAGACAAGUUUAGAACAAAGUAGGCAUGACGAGGCUGAUGAAGAGCUUUAAUGAGAAAAUCGGCCGUUUGAUCAGCAGAGAGAAUAUAGCAAAAAUGAUGACUACCAAAAGCAAACUUUCACAUACAAAAAGAUUAUCGAGUUUUUAUGUGACGUGUGCGAGCAUGAUGGACUAGACGAAUGGCAAUAUAAGUGGCACUCAAAUUAUCACAAUGUAAUAAAAUAAUAGUAGUCAAUCGAACCCCAAACUCACUAAAAAGGAAGCAAAACUCAAAUAGAUAAGAUGGCCACUAGUGAACACUGAGGGUCCAGACAACUCGCCCAAUUAGCAUCCGAAUAAACAAAUAAAGUAGUGGUAUGAAAACGCAGAUGAAUGUCGAAGUCUAAAGUACCUUUAACAUACUCGAUAAUCCUUUUAGCAGCGAUCAAGUGAGUAAUGCGGGGAGCACUCAUGUACUGAGAGAUUGUAUUACCGCAAAAGAAAUAGCAGGAUGAGUGAGAGUAAGGUAUUGCAUAGAGUCAACUAACUCACGAAAGACGGUGGGAGAAGAAAGUAAAAAACCAUUCCUAGCAAUGAUAGCAACUUGGCAGCAAGAGGGGUCGAUGCCGAUUUACAAGAAACCAUGUCAAACUUCUUAAGCAGAUCAUGAGCAUAUUUAAGUUAAUGAACAUGUAGGCCAGUGGAGUCACGAGUAGCCUUUAAUCCCUGAAAAUAAUUGAGGGGCCAAAUCCAUAAUGUCAACUUGAUUGCCAAAGAGAUCAACAAAUUAAGUAACAAGAUCUGAAGAGCUACCAGUGACGACAAUACCAUCCACAUAAAGAAGCAAAAAUAUAGUGCGAGUGAGACACCUAAAUAUAAAAAGAGAGGAGUCAGCAAUACUCUAAGUAAAUCCAAGGUACAAGAGGAAAUAAUGGUGGCGGUUGAACCAAUCACGAGGAGCCUGUUUGAGACCAUAGAGAGAUAUGUGAAGGCGAACAUGAUUAAGACGUGCAUGUUAACAAAGCGAGGGGCUGAGCCAUGUAGACAUUUUGUAUUGAUGUGUGAAUUAUGACUCCUUGCAUUGAUGUAUAGAACAUAUUACAAUAUAUAUAGGAUUAUAUUAAUCCUUAAAAGCUGAAAAAUUAAAUCUUGCUUUUUCAGCUAAGCUUGUCUAGAAAAUUAUCAAUGAUAAUGAUAGCUGAUGGGUAAAGAUUGUAAAAGCGAAACAUUUAAGACAUAAAUCUAUUUGGAAUAUGAACUGCAAGCAAAAUCAUUUAGCAGCUUGGAAGGGUAUUCUAGCAGCAAGACAUAUUGUGAAGAUAGGAAUGAGAUAGACUGUGGGAAAUGGUCAAAACAUUGCGUUUUGGUCCCAUAAUUAGGUUUUUCCUUUCCCUUUAUCCAGUAUCAUUGCCAUUCAAUCCCAUCAUCUUAUUGACUGGAACCUUAAAGUUAGCAAUGUGAUGCUGGAUAAAAUUGGAAUGUUGAUCUCCUUAACCAACUCUUACCAGUGGAUGUUGCUGAUAAAAUUUUAGCCAUUCCUAUCCCGAUCAGUGAUGUUGAAGAUAAACUUAUUUGGGGCCCUACCUCUAAUGGGGAGUUCUCAAUUAAAUCAGCUCACAUAAUUCAAAUUGGUGAUAAUCAGUGUCACAUGUUUAAGGGACUUCUUAACAGAAUUUGGAAACUAAAUAUUCCUUACAAAGUUAAGUUUUUUGGUUAGUUGUUGGUGAGAAAUAAGCUAACCACUAAUGUUAAAUUAAAUAAGUUCAACGAUAACAAUUUUGCCUUAUGUCCCUUAUGUAAUAAUGCCGAGGAAGACCUUGGUCAUAGAUUUAAAUCUUGUCAAUUUGCUCAGGAGUUGUGGAAGAUUGAUAAUAAGUUGCCUGCUAUUUCCCUUGCUCAAAGUUUAAAUGACUGGCUUAAUAGCCUUGAUUAUAUAGACAAAGACGAUCCAUAUGAUCUUAGUAAGGCUCUUUUUAUUUAGUGGCAAAUGUGGAAUGAUAGGAAUGAUUUUGUGUUUAAUCAGAUAAAGCCGACCCCAAUUCAUUAGAAACCAUUGAGGUCAACCUUGCUUGGCGGGUUCGAGAAAUCUGGGUCAGAACACAUUUACAGUUGCAGAGGCUUUGGUUACUAGGGAUGCUCUCUUGGUGGCCAGAUCAAGGGGUUUAAAGAAGGUCAAGAUUGAAGGGGAUUCGAAGAUUGUCAUUGAGGCAAUCAUGGGAAAAUGUAGCAUUCAUUGGCGUAUCCGUGCUAUUGUUAAAGAUAUCGAAUGGCUGGUAUCUUUUUUUACUCUAUUACUUGGAAGCAUAUUUUAAGGGAAGCUAAUUUUGUAGUUUAUGCCAUCACUUCAAGUGGGCAUGGUUUAGAUAACUUCCAUUUUUGGAUUGGCUGUGCGCCUAAUGUCUUGUUGUUUGACUCUAUGGGCCUUGGGUGCUCCCGGGAUUUUCCCUCUCUUAAUGUUAUUUUGUUUCUCAAAAAAAAAAAUCCGAAUUAAUUAACUCUAACCUAACAUUGAAGAAUAAUCAAAUAUUUUAAAACAAAACGAUCAUAAUUCAUCAGACAAAUUGCGAGUGGUGCGAGAGAACAAAUGAAGACGUACAAUCAUCGUUUUAUACUUUUUCAAAAAGCCAAGCACAAGAUGGCGAAGGCGAGGCGGAAACAACACCCAAAAAUCAAAGCAUUAAAUAUCAGACCAAAAAAAAGAAAAAAAAAAAAAAAAAGAAAAAGAAGCGGGAGUGCGGGGACGCGGGAAAAGAGGCGCGUGGAAGGGAAACAGCUUCUCUUGCUUUUACUUAUUCUUUACUCGUCGGCUACUCCACCGUCCCUUGCCUGCCUCGCCUUGCCUGCUGCUGACUCUCUCUCUCUCUCUCUCUCUCUCUCUUAAUUUUGUAUUAAACUUUCCGUCGGAUAAACCACGGAGGCCGAAAGAAAACAAACACAAACACUUAAAAAAAUAUAAAAAAGGCAUCGAAAUUAUUAUUUAUUUAAAAAAAUUAAAUUAAAAAAGGAAAGGAAAAGGAGGAAAUUUCUGUCUGUGAGAGAGAGAGUUGUAAUCGUGUUCCUGUUCUCGUCAACGAACAACUCUUCCGAUUUCAUCUCCUUCCUCUCUCUCCCCAUGCGACUCUCUCUCCUUUCUCUCUCUCUCUAAAAUCCGGAAGUGCUCUUCUCUGCUCUCAAGAAUUCCAAGGUUCGUUCUUCGGUUUCCGGUUGCUUAUUGUUACUGCUUUUCUGAAUUUUGAGCUUAAUUGCAAGCUUUGCGUCCGGCUAAGCUAUUGUUCGUUCGUAAUUAUUGUGCUCUUUGAAACUUUUUGGAAUUUGGAAGUGGAAAUUUUGAAUUUUGAAGUGAAUUUUGGGGGGUUUGGGUUCGAUUUUUGUGUUUUUGCUGCUGCCGAGUUGUGUUUUGGAAGCAGAUUGUUGCCAAUUGGGACUUGGAACUGGAAGUGCUGCCGCCGUUUAAAUUAGGGUUCUUCACGUUCCUCCGCUGAGUGCGGCGUUUUCAGUGGACCUGUGCUUCAUUUUCUUUGUUUGUUGAGCUUUCAUUGUUUUGUAAUGGAGUUCGGGGCUUCUUUUCGGAGUUUUUUGUCUUCACUUUUGAUUUUACAAUUCUGGCAAUGUUAUUCAGAGGAGGAAAAUUGCCGUCAAUUGAAGUGCAGACGUAGCGUCUUUAGUAAAGAUGACAUGGUUCGGGCUAUUCUGUUGGGUUUCUUAGGGUUCUUGCUGCAGUGUGUGUGCUUGAUUGUAGUUUGAAAUUUUGUUCGGAGUCUUUGCGCGUAUUAUCUACUUUAUUCUUUGCUCGUUUGUUCCUAAAGAAAAGCAUUUGGAUGACUUCAGUUUCUAUGUUUAGCUUCUACUUUUUGUGCAUUCUUACUAAUACGAUUGUGACAAUAUGUUUUGGCACCGAAGUGAGGUCAGUUGAAUUCUUUGCUGUAAAGUUUGUGAUACGAGACUUUGUGAUGAGGCUGUUGCUUUUGUCUUAAUCCACUGCAGGAUUCCGGAGGGUUUCAUUUGAAUGCAAAUGUUGGCUGUUCAAUUGAAAGCAUUUUACUGGUUUGCUAAAACGUUGUAAAACAAUAGUUAAUGCCACAUUCUAGCUUCUCGUUGAAGUUUUCCAAAGCAAUGUUGACUGUACAAUAAUGUUUUUGUUCUUCAUAGAAAUUUGACCGCGAGAAACUGGUAUGUUAUUCUUGUUACUGUCAUUGAUUUGUUUUCACAAAUUGAAGAAUAAGUGAGAAGAAGAGAAUCAUAUUGGAUGGGUAAUAAGCUCGGAAGAAGGAGACAGGUGAUUGAUGAGAAAUACACAAGGCCUCAGGGGCUUUACCACCACAAAGAUGUGGAUCAUAAGAAACUGAAGAAGCUCAUACUUGAGUCCAAGCUUGCUCCUUGCUAUCCUGGAGAUGAAGAAUGCACUUUUGAUCAUGAAGAAUGUCCAAUUUGCUUUCUGGUUUGACUUCUACCGUAAUCCUUUUUAUUGUUCUUGUACUUUCCUUCUUGGUAUUCUUUGUCCUCUGCCUUUUGCUUUAUUUAAUUGAAGAAUAGUAGGUGGAGGAAACUACAUUACCUUCUAUUUACUCUAUGGUUUUAACUAAGUUGAAGUUUACUUGAAAAUUCAAUUUCCCUUCAAUUUUUCUGUUUCCUGAACCAUACACAACUAAAUUGAAAUUUUAAAGCAAUUUUUUUUUGCUACAUUUCCGGUACAGGGUAACUGGGAAGUUAUUUUUUAAUUUCUUCUUAGACACCAUUCUGGGAGGAACUCACAGAAUUUGAAUAUCUGAAAAAAGUUAAAUUGAAUUUUAUUUUGUAAUUAUUGUUGUUGUGUAAGUCUUCUGACUAUCCUAUUCCAUCCUUUUCUUUUCUUGUUUCAGUAUUAUCCAAGUCUUAACCGAUCAAGAUGCUGCAUGAAAGGCAUCUGUACAGGUUACAAUCAUGCAAUUUUUUACAUUUGAUAUGUCGGCUGUAAAUAUUUGCAUGUGAAUUGAUUAAUCUCCAUUUCCUUGCAGAGUGUUUCCUGCAGAUGAAAGUUCCUAAUUCAACUCGUCCUACGCAGUAUCCUUUGUUAUUGAUGUUAUACCUUCAAAUUUUGAAGUGCAAUUUGAAAUUUGUAAUAUGAAAACUGUCAUUUUUCAUUUGUUACUUUCAGCUCUUUGUGCUCGUUUUACUUAGCAUAAUUAGGUGCCCUUUUUGUAAAACCACCAAUUAUGCUGUGGAGUUCCGUGGUGUGAAAACAAAGGAAGAGAAGGGUCUGGAGCAAAUUGUAAGCAUAGAUCUGUCAUAAAAAAAUUGAUUUUAUUUUGAAUCUAUGGAUUCUUGUUCUACUGAUUUUCUCCACUGGAUGGAACUUGAAAAUUAUUUACAUUUCUGAAAACUCUGCAGGAAGAACAAAGAGUCAUAGAAGCAAAAAUUAGGAUGCGGCAGCAAGAACUUCAGGAUGAAGAAGAAAGAAUGCAGAAAAGACAAAUAAGCUCUCCAAGAAGAAGCAUGGCACCAGUGGAAGAUGAAUACAGCUCAGUAACCGGUAUGCUAACAAUAAGAUUGCGGAUUCUAUUAAUGUACAGGUAUUCAUUUGUUUACGUAAUGACAAAGUUUUCUGGUAGUUCGAUCCUCCACUUCUCCAGAAGAAGGAGAGGAAAUAGUUCCUUCUCAAGAUUCAUGUGCUGUGUCAAUGUGUACCCAACCGCCACCUCCAAGAGUGUACAGGUGUACAUUUUAAUUUACUUUAAUUUAUCUUUUUAUUUCUGGUCUGUGUGUUUAACCAUGGAACAAAUUGGGAUUCGAAAUAUGAGAAUGAAACAUCUGUUUACUAGUGUUAUCUUGCCCUAGUUUGUAGAUUAGAAAAAUAUAUGUUUGCAUUUAGAAUAAAAAGAAAACAAAAGAGGAGGAAAUUACUGCAGCAUAAUAGUCAGAAUAGGUUUCCAUAUCUUCAUGGAACUUUAACUAGUUGGAUCCUAGUUUGUGUACGAGUGAAUAGGUUCUCAGGUUUCCCAUAUCACAACCAUUUAUGCAUGCACCUUUCUCCAUGUUUGCACUUAUGAUGUGCAAUUGUGUGUGGAAAAAUUAACAUUUUUCACCAUGGAAUUAUCUGGCUUUUCACAUCAUACAUGCCAGAUUUUUUUAGAUUAAAAGGCUCUUAUGAGUGUUUGUUUUACAAGAUACAUGACAAUUUGAAUACGACUCAAGCAUGAUAUGGCACAACUUGAUUGCCAGCCAUGAUCCUAAUUUCUAUUUUAAAUUCCGAAACUGCAGGGAGGAUGAAUUCGAUCUGGAUCUUGAGGAAAUAAUGGUCAUGGAAGCAGUUUGGCUUUCUAUUCAGGUAAAAAUUGUAAAUUUGUUGAAAUCACGAGUCCUGUUUGAAAUAAGCUUCGUUACGAACUGUAUGGAAACCAUGUGUUACACUGUUCAAAUUGAAACCAAAUGCUUUUUGAUGAUUCUCUUAACUUAUUUAUUUACUUUGAAAUCUAUUAUGUGGUCUUUAAGUGCUUCUAUGAAGGUAAUGAGACUUUUAGUGAGUACUUUUAACUGGAGCUUAGUAAGUAGUGAUAUACUUGACUGGCACCCAAUAGUGAAAUGAAGGCAAGAAUGCUUACGUGAACAGAGAGUUGUAAAUUGCAUAUCCUUGAGGCUGAAAUGCUCAGUUUGUAAUAUGUAUAGCGCUGGAGCUUGUACUUUUGACAUGCGCAUCAGACAUAAAUAAACUAUUUUGAGUUGAAGCUCCCUCAUAUCAAACUGUUUGAGCCAAAGAUAUCUCUAUGUAGAUAAUGGUUGAAUUAUUUAAGCUUUAUAUUUAAUAAUCCUACUUUAAUCUUUAGUGUAGAACUUUAGAUGAGUGGUUACUAGGAAAGAUAAGAAAUAUGCAGUAUUUCUAAUACAGAUAAAAAGUGUUCAACGGAGAAAAUAUUGUUGCUGUUCCCAAAAUUUGUUGAUUGCAUCCUGGCUAUUGGUUUCAAAAUUCUGUAAACAUUUAUAUUCCUAGAUGUAAAACUUUUAAAGUGAUAUAACAUAAUGAACACAACAUUUUCCAUCCAGCCAUAGGAAUCUUGUUUACAGCAAUUAUCUAAAAAAUAUGUAUAUUUUGAACAUGAGUACGUCAUGUGAUGUGCGCACACCACCUCGAGUAUUUCAAAUGUUUUGGUGUUGUUGUCAUUGAUGAUGCAACCGAUAACUGUUUUGAUUUGUGAUAGUUACAAGCAAUUUAGUAGUAUUUGAAGUUUAUACCUCACUUUAUAUACUAGAUAUAUGUGUGUGCAUUGGUUGUGUUACGUUAAAUAUAAGUGGAUGUAAUAAAAGUUGUCAUUUAGUCAACAAUUGCUAAUUUGAGUGACUGGGAGACUAUUGAAGUUUUGGCUUUGUUCGAUAUUAGUUUCUUGGGGUAUUUUCUCUUGUAUACCUCCUUUGUACCAGGAUCACACCUAUUUUAUUUCGUUUUUCCUUUUUUUUUUUUUAAAUAUAUCUGUUAAUCCAUUAUGUAAAUUUUUCGGCCUUCCAACUCUUCUGUAUUGCACAACAAUUUUGUUUUUCAGGAGAAUGGGAGACAUAAGUCUCCAUCUUACGUAGAUGCUGCUCCGUCUGAACAAUUUGUCACGAGACAAAACCUUGUCUCACAAGCCAUGGCUUCAGUUUCCGGUUCAUCUUCACCAUCGGGGGGUCUUGCCUGUGCAAUAGCUGCCCUUGCGGAACGACAGCAAACGAGUGGAGAAUCCUCCACUAGUCCUGGCGGCAAUGUGUCGGGGGUUAGUAUGGUUCCUGGCAGUAGCAGGUUUUCCAACAGGGUGGACAGAGAACCCGGGAAUUAUCAAACUGCAGUGACCUCUUCUGAAAUGUCAAUCAAUCACAGGAUGGCUUCGACGCAGGAUGACAGAGAAUGGAAUGUUGACACUACACGGACGAGUUAUGCAAGUUCCGACACAACAGAAGAUGUUGGAAGUACAUCUGCCCCACCAACGGGGAGUGAGAUUGAGGGCGAUCUUCAAAAUGCCCCAGGCCCUAUUGUUCCCGAGAGUUUUGAGGAGCAGAUGAUGCUGGCCAUGGCCGUUUCACUGGCUGAGGCUAGAGCCGCGGCCAGUGGACCUGGAGUUUCCUGGCAGUAGGCUAGGUCAAGAUACUACUGAUAGGAAAUUCUGAAAUAGAUAUGGUGUGGCCACUGCAGUUUGCUAGCUGAGUCUCGAGCACGGAAACUGCACAAAAAUAGAAGAACAAAAAUUCACGCAAAUAGUCGAAAGGUCAAGGUAGUGAUGAUUCUCCCUCACUUUCUCUGCCCCUCUCAUGUUUCUAUAUAGAUGUGAAAGGAAAACAGAUUAUUCUAGUGAAAUGAAAGGCUUAUGGUUUUGCUAUUUCUUUAUGAUUUCUUCUCAUUACAGCUCGAUUAGCGAGUACUGAGGAUCGAUUUCAUUGUUUUGGCUUGUUUUAAAUUGUGUGCCUCGUUGGUACCACGGCGGCGGUGAAAUGGAGUUCUUUGCACCCCAACCCCGUGUAUUUGAAAAGAAACGGUUGAACUUCCAGUGCAUGACUGCGAAUUGCAAGACUGAUGUGCAUAAAACUUAAUUUAAUUUGUUUCUAAACAAAUGGCGAUGUUUGGUGUGGUUACAUCGGAGGGGGUUAAAUCCUAAUCAUUGUCUUUCCAUCCCGCUCCAUGUCGGAGGAUUCCAAGUUCGGCAGCGAAGUAAGGCCCAAAAUUGCUCACAAAAGAAAGUUGUACUUAGGUUUUCGAUUGGAUGCUUGGGAUCAAUUUAAAGAGACAAAAAGAAAACCUACAUCUGAUUGGGAAAAGAUGGAUUACAAGCCAACUGCCAAGUUUUGUAAACAAUGAAUUAUUGGUGAAAGGAAAGUUAUCUUUUAAAAAGUUGGAGUUGAUAGGAAGAAAUGGAAGCAAAUUGUAUCUAAGUUGAAGCCAGCAGGAAGAGCAUAGUGAAUUAGAUGUGUGAUAUCUAUAUAUAUGAAUCAGCCAUUGUGAAUUUGAUCCGUAUUACACUAUUAACAUUGAUGUAAGUUUGAUAAGGGUGAGUUUUAUAUAUUAAAUUUGGGAGCUGUCUACUUUUUCUUUUUCUUAUUUUAUGAUGGUCGCCUCUUCUUUUUUUCUCGUUAUUUGUUGUAUAAGUAUCACACUCAUUGAAUUCAAAAAUAAGAAUCACUCUCGUAGCACUUAAAUUUUCCCGUCCACCAUGGGAGUUUGAAUUCUAUAUUAUUGGUAUCACUCAAAAUUUCAAUUGUUUGAUAACUAUUUCGUUUUUAGCUUUAGCUUUUUAGUUUUGAGUUUUCAUUCUAUUAAAAACUGAAAACUACAAAUCAAAAGUUGAAAGCUAUUUUUUGAGUUUUCGGUUAUCAAAAGAAAUUCAAACAAAAACUGAAAAAAUUGGAACAAAAUGAAAAUCAUAUAGACCAUCUCCAACCCUUGGGUUAAAACCUAAAAUUUUAACCCAAAUCAUUUUGGUUUUAACCCAGAAACAAUUUUUCUCCUCAAACCAUUUUGAGUUAAAUUUUUAGCCCGAGAUUAUUAAAGAAUAAAUUUAGGAUAUUUUUUUCUUCUUGAAGUAACUUUUAAAAAAAAAUUAUGUAGACUAUUCUAAUUUAAUUUUAUAAACAUUUUAACCUAAAAAUAUUUAUAUUUCGAUAAAUACUGAAAAAUCACUAAACCGACACUAUGAAACUUGUGGAACACUAUGAAAGAAUAUAAACGCAUAAAAUAAUUAUUUUUUGAAUUACUUUCGCCGUUGAAUUUAUAUUUGGACCGUUAGAUCUUCUUGUUUACGGUUGAAUUCAAUUAAUUUAUAAAUAUAAAACUAAAAAAAUACACAUAUAUGGUGGGCCAGCCCCCACUAACUCGAGGAAAUCCUGGACUAAUUUUUGCCCCAGAAAUGAAACCCAUAUUUGCUCCAAGAGUUGGAGCAACUUGGGAAUCUAAAAUUUGAGUUUUACUCCAAGGGUUAUCGUAGGUCUAAAACAAUGUUCUAAAAAUCAGCCCAUCCCGAUUUUGGACAAAUCGUUUCAAAAAGUCGGUCGGGAGCUAGGCGGUCCUAGGCGGCGCUUAGGUGGGUUAGGCGGUCAUAGGCGGCACCUGGGUGGUCCUAGGUAGUUUUUUUUAUAUUUUAUAUAUUUUUUAUUAAUUGUGUGCUUUUUUCUUUUUUGGUUUCAUGGUGUUAUACUUAUGGAAAUGAUGUACCUAAUUUGCAAAUGAUGGAUUUACUACAAGUUCAUCCAAUAGUGAAACGAAUUAGAGCACUUUUGAGGGGAUACAUACAAAGAAAAAAAAUAAACUAGAUACAACAAGGUUAAAUAAUUUAGUCUAUGUCCAAUCCAAUGCAAGAAUCAUAAUUCAUGAACAAGAAGAAUUUAAUCUAUCAUCCAAAUCCUCCUCAUUAUGAUACAUGCUUACUGUUUUUUAAAUAUUGAACUUUUUGGGUGUAUAUAAUUUGUGUAUUCUUCUAUUUCUAUUUUUGCAUUUUAUCAUUAUUUUAUUAUCCAUACAAGUAUAGUUUUUUUAGGUGUAAAUUACAAGAUAUAUAAUAAAUUUACAUAAAUUCGCCUAGGCCCUCCUCCACCUAGCUGCUUAGGCACUAGGUCCCUACCCACCGCCUAACUAGCGCCGUCGCCUAGUGAUUUUUAGAACCUUGGUCCAAAAAUACUAUAUCUUCUACCUUCAACUUAGACACAAUUUGCUUCCAUUUCUUCCUAUUAACUCCAAAAGGUUUCCGAGAGCGAGGGUGAGUGCCAACAGCUAACAGACGUCGAAAUGUGAGGUGGAGAUGGAUUUUAUGAGACCGGGCCUCAAAGUAGGUGAAGAUAUAUCAUAAACCAUUAACUUUCACAUGCAGUGUCUGUUUCUAUAAUUUCACAAAACUCAGCUUACUCUUUUAGUUCCAUUUCCAUAAGAUUCAAACUUUUCAAGCUUUGCAAUUUGAGUGAGGACCGCACGAUGACCUGCACUCCUCACUCUUUGUUUACCUACAUUAUUGCACUCCACAAAUGCCCCUAUAUCACUUAGAGUGAUAAAAGGGAUCAGUACCUAGGUAUUGCUAAUAAUUUGACCUUGUCAAAUCUGACUUUGGACCAAAGUUAGGGUUUCACCAUAAGUAACUAAGACAUUUGAAUGUGCGAGGCUCUCGUUGCUCUUUCUUCGUACCCAAGGUUUUGUCUUUGAUUCUUGAUUCUUCUUUUUAAGUAUUAAUUUUCUCUGCAUUAUGUUAGUUUUGCAUUUGGAUUCAUCUCAAAGGUUAUGUUGGGGUUGGUCAUUAUAGAAGUUUAUCCAGAGUUCAUUGUCACGUCUCUUACAAUAUUGGAUGGAAGAACUGAUUGUUUUGUCAAUUGCUUGUGCAUUAUAAUUUUUCUAUUUCAAUAAUAUUAUCACUUUUUUUCUUUUCAAAAUAUCGAUUGUUUGAAAAAAAACAAACAUUUGAAAUAAAUAUGAAAUCUACCAUAAAAAUUAAUAUUUAUUAGAAAUUUAAGGCGGAAAUGAAUGUAUUUUUUUUCCUUUAACAAAUAUCUAUUUUGUACAUUUUAAUUUGAAUUACGAACUUCGUGUACAAAUGCAAGUAAUACAAGUAUCCACCCUGAAUUUAUCUUCUCUAGACGAAGCUUUAGGGGCUGCAAAUUUAUGCAUCGACAAGGAAGGCAGCCAAAUCCCGUCUACUUUAAUAUUGAAGUCAUCUUGAAUUUGAAGUGUGCCUUUAAACAUACGAGUGAUUGAGAGCCAAUUGGUAAUGCUCAAUGCCAAGAUUCGAAUAAAAAAAAAAGAGAGAGAAAGCAAAUGGAUUUCAAAUAUUUUGUUGCAUAUAAUGAUCUCGGAUGUUACGUUUUUGUUGCGAUUUCAAAUGUACUUCGUCUGGUUAUUUUUUUAAUCCAAUGCCUUCUAAAUUUUGUAGCAAAUUGAGUCUAAAAAUAUAGUAUAAUUAAACGCUUACGAAUGAGAGUACCAAUGGAAACUCUAGGAGGUUUCGGGGUAGGAUGAAAAAUGUGAGAUUCUACUAUAAAAUCAAUUGGCAAUAUGGUAAGUAACUCAACUUGUUUAUAAGCCCGUGUAAGGUCCCUCAUUCCAUCAAUGUAGAUUCAUUUUCAACACACUCGUUCACUUGUGGUGAAUUUUACGCCAAACAUGUGGACAACACAAACAGGGUGACAUGAAGCACAUGUGGGUUACAUAGAACACGAUCAUUGGGUUUCACACGUGAGACAACUACUCUAAUACCAAGUUAAACCAACAGGUUUUGAUUCUUGUGUAAAUUAAACAAAGGAAAACAUUGGUGGAUUAGGCACAUUAGAGUAAUGAUAAUGUGACCCCAUUGCAUUAUUGUUAAUUAGUACCAAACACUAAACCAUCAUAACAUAUGAUCGUAUCUUUUUAUAGUAAUAAUAAUGUGACCCCAUUGCAUUAUUGUCAAUUAGUGCAACACUAAAUCAUAUUAACAUGAUACUAUCUUUUCUUAAACACCAUGAUAUAACUAGGAUUAACAUGAGACUAUCUUUUCUUGAACACCAUGAUAUAACUAGGAAAUUAUAAUUAUGAAAGUAUGAGUAACUUGGCAAUCUAGUGGGGUCAUUUACACUAAUAGUAUCUACACAUUACUACACACUCCAGUGCUGUAAAGAUUAUAAACAAAUGAAUAAUAUUAAGCUGCAUUGUGUUGAAUUUCAAUCUAGUCACCAUACGAAUUUCAAAAAAAUAAAAUUCAACGAAAUACAGGACACUGUAAUAUGCUAUUUAAUUCAAAUACAUAAAUGUGAUGAUAAUGCUCACCGCAAAUUAAUGUGGUGAGCUAAUCUAUCACGUUUUGAAUUUAGUAAUUCUUUUCCCAACACUCUCACAUACAAUGAAUUUUAAAUGAUUUUGCAAUAAUAUAAAAUAAAAAAACUACGAGAGCCGGGGUAACAAUUGAAUAACUUUUGAUAUCUCUAGAAUUUUUGUUUAGAAAAUAAUUUUUAUGUAUUAUUUUUUUUUUCAAACGAUAGAUUUUGUUAGAUUAAUCAUUGACGGAAUUUGAACUCACACUGUUAUAUAAAAACUCAACACAUUUUCAUCACUGUGGUAAAGAACCACUUGCAAUUAUGCAUUAUUUUUCACUUCUUAUACAUUCUUGGUGUUUUUAAUCAUUGCAUUAAACAAAGCUACAUAAAAUCAAUGACAGAAUUAAUAAAAAUGUGCAGAAGAAACUCCACUUUUGGUUUUGGAUGUAUUGUUUGGCAUGAACGAUGAGUCGAUGACAAGGGAGGUGAUUCCAAACUUGUCUAUUUAUUUGCAUGCACAGCCUUUAUAAACGCACGUAUCGACGUAUUGUCAAAAUGCACAUAUAUUGAGAAAUUUUAAAUGCACGCAUUGUCGUUAAAGAAACAAGAAGAAAACGUUUGAGAGAUUUUGAAAAAAGUUUUGAACUUUGAACAAGUUCAAAGCAGACAAAAAGGAGUAAUGUUAUUCAUACUAUAUUUUUAUAAUAUUUUAGAUGGCACUGAUUUAGAUAGAUACAUCAUUUAAAUUUUUUUUUAAAUCCAGGAAAAUGAAUGAGAUACCACAAUCAUUAUUUAAUUAUUUAUUUUCUUAAUUCUUAGUUUAUUAAAUAAUGAAUAAAAUUUAAAAAUCUGAUUAAUUCAAUUAAUAUGAAUAUGAUAUAAAAAUACGGUAAGCAUUACUCGACAAAAAGACAAGAUUGAAAGAGUAAGAUCCAUGCAAAUGCAGAGUUGGAUUUUCCCAAGAUCCUCUACUUUCACAUCGAAUCAUUAUUAUCGAUAGUCGUUUCUUUGAAAUUUACUCUUUUGUACUCUUCUUCCUCCACCCACCUUCUUGAAAAGCUGAAUGCCACUGCCACUCUCUCACUCACCUUUAAUUCAAACUUCAAACUUCAAAGUUCCGACCUCUCUCUCUCUCUCUAGACCGUCUUCUCUUCUGGGAUGAGUUUUUACUGCCUAGUUUUUCAUGUUUAAGAAAAAGCUGUCAUCUUUUAACACCAAAACCCAACUUGUGGAGCUCAAGAAACCAUCCUUUACCAUUUUCUAGCAAAUGGGUUAUUUUCUUUAGUCCCUAAUAUUCAAAAGGCGAGGUCUUUCAUGGAGUUCAUCAGUUGAGAUGCCACUCAGAUCACUGACAUUAUUUACCUGGAAUCUGCACUUCUAGAGUUUGCAAUGUGAGAAUUUUUUUCUUCCCAUUUCUACCUAUUAUUUCCUCAAUUUCUAUGCUUUUGCAUGUUUAUAAGGUGGGGAUUUGAAAUCUUGUUACUCACAAUUUUCUUUCCCUUGGUUUAUUGUUCAAGGAUCUGAGUUUUGGCAUUUCUUUUCUGUCUUACUUUGGAGGUGUGAGGUACACUUUCUUGGGACUUUAACUUCCAUUUAGAAUUCGAGACCCUCCAGAAAAUGUAAAAUUACAACUGAAAAAAGGAGUGUAGUUGGGUUAAAACAUGCAGUGUCAGCAAGUUUGAGAUUCUGAAAAUCCUUGAUAGUUGGUUUGCUUCAAUCUUAUGUUGAUGGAUUGGAAAUGUUUCACUCCAAAGAUCAAUAAUUAAGUCACCUCUUAUAAAGUACAUCAGGUUAGUGGUGCCAAUUUGAAGGUUAUACGAUCACCCAAUUAUUGUUAAAAGUUUUAGAGAGGCGGAUCAACGGGCCACUACUAAUCACCUUCGACGCAAAGCCUACAUUCUUCAACGACUAUGACUCUAAGCAAUACGAAAUUAAGAUCCGUUGUAUUUUUUGUUUUGGUAAGAUUUCCGAUGUAGGGCUUUACAUUCUUCAACGACUAUGACUCUAAGCAAUACGAAAUUGGCUAGCCAUGGUUGAUUAUUGCUUGACACAAUCUUAUAAAAUGAUAAUCAUCAUAGGACACAUUCUUAUAAAAUUAUAGAAUGAUCAUCAUAGCCAUGGGUGAAUGGGUAGUAUUAAGGAUUGUAGCUGGGGGGGUGUUCCCUACGGUGUGCAAGAUACGGCAGCUGAAGGGAGCCUUCCACGCAUGUGCCUGGUCUUGUAUCCCAAGAUCGGCAAACAUUGCGGUGGACUUUGUUGCGUCGCACUUUGGCACGGAGAUGUGCAACUUGGUUUGGGUCAUCCGGCCCCCAUCUUCAUUUGUGAGGGUCCUAAACAAAGACGGGUUACCUUGCCCACCUAGUUAGUUUUUUGUGGUUGUAAUGGUCUGGCGUGGUUUUGAUCCGUGCCUACCUACCUCCCUUACUUCCAGUUAAUUAGCUUUGCAUUUGCUUGCCCGGUGUGGCUUUCGUGUUUCUUCUGGCUUCAGCCCUGGCAAUGAAAUAUUCCCCGGUUCUCAAAAAAAAAAAAAAAAAAAAAAAAAAAAAAAGAAUCCACUUUUCAGCCUUCCUGCACAUCACAUGAGCUUUGUCAGUGGAACAAAAGAAAAGUGGAUGCAAUUUUAGAGCCAAAAAUGUCAAAUGACGAGCGUGCCACUGCAAUGUUUCAAGCCCAAGAAAUAGUUUCAGCUCAUUAGGUUGAAAAACAUGCCUGCACUUGAUAAUGUGGGGAAGAGGGACUUUUGAGAAAGCUUUUGCACUGUCCCAGAAGCAUGCUAGCUGAGAUAUGCAGGCCAUGCGGAGCAUGGGGUUUUGUAAAAGUGAAAUUAAGCCUUGAAUUAUGUAACAACUCAAAUGCAUUGCAGUUUUUUUUUCUCUUUAGGAGACUAGGACCAUUUGGUGUGUAAAUCUGCAUUCCCAUUUACCUUCUGAUGAGCAGAGCACCCGAAAACGGAAACAUGUCAUGUGUUUUAGAACAUCAUUUUUCCAGAUGGGUUCAUCUGUGCUUAGCAGGGAUAUUUGAUUGUAAUCGCCCUAGUAUAUUUAGCAUUGAUAUGCAAGAGGAUGGAGUUUUUAGCCGAUAGUACGACAGUAUAUGUCGAAUAUCAUUCUUAUAUUACUCAGUUAUGUGUUUUAUUCUAACUACAUUUUUUCUUAUGCUCACAAGUUAACAGAACAUAGCCCUUCGUCUUCAGCGAAUCUUCUAAGCGCAACAAAUGCUGCGAUCAAGGUUAGAGAAUGCUCAUUAUCCCUAAUGUGGGUUUGGCUUUUGUGUCCAUGUGUGUUUAUGUAUAUUCCUUAAUCUUGCAGUAGAUAUUUUUUUUUUCUUCUUAACCUUGCUGGUCCGAAGGUUAUCAUUUUUGAGUACAUUGUGCAGCAUAACUUGACAACAGAACCAAUCAAGAUCUUAAAUGUGAUCGGUAUUUAGUGUCUUAAGAGGUUCUUUUGCUUAAUCAGGCCAUUAUUUGAACUCUAGCGGUUUAUAUUACAUGUCUUAAGCUUGACCCUGAGAGAUAUGCAAUUACAUAUGAAAAUGGAAUUAGUAUCUGAUGGAAAAUUCUUGUCGGGAUUUUGGGGAAUAGGGGCUCUGAAAUGGUUCAAAGGCCGUCUCCUCGAGGCUCACAUCAGCUCAGGACAUCAAGCUCUGAUUCAGAUCCACUCCAUCAUCGACCAAUAACUGAUCGAAGUCCAAAGCUAGGAGGGGAUCGCCGUUCCCCAAGAGGUACACAAUCUGAUCCACUAAACCAAAAGAAGAUUGGAACCCGCCUUGCUGAUUUGGAAUCCCAACUUGGGCAAGCACAAGAAGAGCUAAAGAUACUGAAAGAGCAGUUGGCUUCAGCCGAGGCUGCAAAGAAAGAAGCACAAGAGAAACUGGAAAAUAAAACUAAGAAACGAGUUGUGACUUCUGAGCCAGUGAUGAUCCAUGAAACGCAUCCUCCAUUGGAAAAUCAGGACUCUAACAAAACGGACAGUUGUUCCUCUGAUGAAGUUCCAGAUGACAUCCAAAAGGAAACCGAUGUUUAUGAAGUCCCAGUAGAAAAAGUUACAGUUGAGCCAAAGGUUGAACCCAGUGAGACUGAUCAGGUGGAAGAAGAAACCAAACCAGUUGUUAUAUCAGAUGAACCGCCAUCAAAUUUGGAAGCAGAGAAACUUACCGCCUUACGUGACCUAGCUUUGAAGAAUGAUGAGAUAAACAUGCUAAGAGCUGAGUUGGAAGAGAAGGCAAAGCAGCUAGAAGUGUUUGGUGAAGAAAAUCAAGGUUUAAAGAAUCAGCUAAACGAAGCAGCAUUAAAUAUUUUAUCUGCCCAAGAAAAGGAAAAGGAAAUGUCCUUGAAGUUAAGUCAGCUAGAGGAAGAGCUGGAAGCAAGUAAGGCAAAUGCAGGUCAGUUGAACGCAACGCUGCAGGCAACAGAAGGAUCAAAGGAAGCGCUGGAAGCGGAAAUAAAGAAGAUGAGAGUGCAGACAGAGCAGUGGAGAAAGGCUGCAGAUGCUGCUGCUGCAGUACUUGCCGGGGGUGUGGAGAUGAAUGGUAGGAUUUCUGAGAGGUGUGGCUCCAUGGAUAAGCACUUUGGUGGAGUAUUUGAGCCAUCAGCUGGUGGCUAUGCCGGCUUUGUGGGGUCACCUGCUGAUGGCUUGGACGAUGGGUUCGGUAGUGGUAAAAGAAAGGGUUCCGGCAUAAAAAUGUUUGGUGACUUGUGGAAAAAGAAGGGCCAGAGAUAAGAGUUCCUUUUUUUGUAUCUCUCGCCCACACUCGCGCUGAACUUUGAAAAUCUCUGUUUUUCCGUUGGUGUGUGAUAGUAGCAAAACAGUUUCUUACUGUUUCAGACUCGGCAGGCAGCGCGUUUUGGAUCCGCCGUCGUAGUACGCAUGUUUUCCUAGUAAUUUCAGUCGUGUAUAAUUGUUUAAACGAUCUUGACAUGUUUUAUUUCAGUUUAUGAGUAAGGCUUUGGUGUACCUUCUCUAAUAAUAUUUUUGUGCUACCUUACCUUAAUGCAAUUUCCAACAUUUCCUUGUGAUACUUUCAUCAUUUUAUUUCGUAUACAACGACAAAAAGUACUUAAAUUUUUUUUUUUUGGGUCAAAGUGCAACUUUUAUUACGAACCAAACAAACAAACAAUACAAGGUCCAAAACAGACACAUGGACAAGCAAAAAAUGGGCCAAGACAAAACAAAGUACAACGGGCCAACCAACUGUUGCAACCCAAACACAAAGACAACUUUACGAACACUAGAAACAUCCACUGCAACCAUCCUCGUCGCAGCAACCAAAAUCCGUCCAAUUCCUCAUCCCCAGCCGAGUAUCUCCUCUUCAAACGCAGCAUCUUACCCCGAUCUGCUACAUGAGCACAGCCACAAGGAACGGAUAGCCAGCAACGACACAACGGAAGCCGACUAUCAGGAUGAAGCCCGUGGAAACCCACGAACAACGCUGCCGCAAAAGGCAGAUAAGCUGGAGAAGGUGGUGGUGUUAGAAACACCUGAGCCGGAAAAACCAUUGGAGCUCUACACAUGAUCUCCACGAUAUUCAUGGUUGAAAACCGGAAUAAAGAUGAACACAUAAGAGGGGCACCAACUGGGUAAGAGGGAUAGAAUAGAUCUGGGUUGAAAGCAAGGGAAGAAAGCAGCAGAAACAAAAAACAGAGGAAAGGAAAAAAUAAGGGAGGAAACGGCGACCGACCCCAGCUACGGCUAGGAUCGGCGCCACCGAAUUUUCGUGAUUUGUGAAGACUCACACCAGAAGGUGAGAAAGACUCUCAGACGGAGAGAGAAAAAAGUUUUAUCGAACUUUAAAAAAAG